GACGAACGCUGGCGGCGUGCCUAAUACAUGCAAGUCGAACGCAGUGGGGACGGGUGAGUAACACGUGGGUAACCUCCCAUCAGAGGGGAUAACACUUGGCAACAGGUGCUAAACCGAUACUGAUGGAUGGACCCGCGGUGCAUUAGCUAGUUGGUGAGGUAACGGCUCACCAAGGCCACGAUGCAUAGCCGGUCUGAGAGGGUGAUCGGCCACACUGGGACUGAGACACGGCCCAGACUCCUACGGGAGGCAGCAGUGGGGAAUAUUGGGCAAUGGACGAAAGUCUGACCCAGCCAUGCCGCGUGAGUGAAGAAGGUCUUCGGAUUGUAAAGCACUGUUGGUAGAGAAGCGGUAUCUAACCAGAAAGCCACGGCUAACUACGUGCCAGCAGCCGCGGUAAUAC
rnacentral:rRNA from 1 species